rnacentral:rRNA from 1 species
UACGUAGGGUGCAAGCGUUGUCCGGAAUUAUUGGGCGUAAAGAGCUCGUAGGCGGUCUGUCGCGUCUGCUGUGAAACUCAGGGCUUAACCCUGAGCUUGCAGUGGGUACGGGCAGACUAGAGUGCGGUAGGGGAGACUGGAAUUCCUGGUGUAGCGGUGAAAUGCGCAGAUAUCAGGAGGAACACCGGUGGCGAAGGCGGGUCUCUGGGCCGUAACUGAC